rnacentral:lncRNA from 8 species
AGUAGUUGAUGCUACUGUAUACACAACUAACACCUGUCAUCUACAGGUAAUGAUAAUGUCAUUUUCUCAAGAUAUCAUUGCAUAUGGCUUUUUAUGAUUUCCUCCUGCGAGAAUAAGAUGCAUCAUGUGGCGAUGUGCAUAGCCUCAUAUACACUACGUGUGGUAAAAAUGUAUAAAGAUAUGUUGUUCACAGGUGAGAGGUCAAGUAGUGCAUAGCUUGGUUUUGUGUGGUUAAGACCAUGCAGCCAUUUUGUCAGAAUGACUAAGCACCCGGUUGGGUCCUUUGUUUCAUUUCUGUUUGUUCCCGCAUGCAAAACACUCAGGGUAGGUGGUGACCAUGCAGAUGCUGAUUUACCAGUAUGGCUUUGAAGCGAAAUAGAUUUUUUGCAUAUUGCGUAAAGUCAUAUCUAUAUUUGUAUUAGUUGAAAUGUAUCAAUAUACUGUUCAAACAAUUUAGAGGUUUAUUAAAUUAUUCAAGAACAAAGCUAUUAAUUGUUAAAACGUCAUGUAAACCCUAUAGUAAGGUUUUACUCAGGAGUAUUGAAAACAAGUUUCAUCCAAGGAGAAUAUAAUAUCACAUCCUCCUUAGCCCCGAGGAUAGAUUAGGGACAAGACUAGGGAUAAGGAUCAGAUUAUUAUCUGAUAGAGUCCAAAUAUGUAAAUUGUUUGUAUAUCAAAUUGCUUCCUUAUUUAAUUGUGCUUUCAGCCUCCUAAAAUAUUUGUUCUCUAUUUUCUUUCCCUCUCUCCUUUUCUCCCAUUGAGGGCCUCUAGUGCUGGUCUGUCUACUGAAAUGGUGCCUGGCUGAAGACUGGGAGGGAGCAGGGCAUGUCUGUGGGGUUUGCCUUUCAUGGAGCCUUGAAUGACCCGAGAGAGACUGGAUGUGGCUCUCUCUUGGGCUCCAAGGGGAAAUUUGAGAUAUGUCCCCCUCUGCUUUCUCCUUUUACAACUCCUCACUUUUUUAAAAUAACUUUUUUUCUUUACUGCUCUAUUCACAACGCUUGUCUGUCAUCAAGCUGCUGUAGCAACAAAGACCCUGGCUACUUUCCUCUGAUGCUCCUACCUAAACCUUGUAAUUGUCGUCUUACCAGACAAGUUUAGAUCUAGCUACUCUGUCUAAUACUGUCUGGUAAUGCCGUCCAUUACAAGGUGUCUCAUCGCUCUUUCUCUGUCAGUCUCUUGGACAAUCUGUACAAAUGAACUGGUAUUGGGUCAUGUGAUGUUUUUUCACCCCUCAAUGAUUUAAUGGCUUAGAAUGUUUAAAUGCAGGUCCAUUUUUUGUUGUUGAAUUAUGUAUUUGUAUGUAAAAUGUCUUGAACAGAUAUUUGCUAACAGUAUUUUGUUGAUUAUGUUAAUAAAGGUCAUCAACGUUCUUUUGUGCUUUUCAUUAUCAUAUGAAUCAUUAUAAACAGCAUGAGCGAGCGCCCACGAAUUCACACCCACACACACACACACACACACUGAGCGUGGUUCAUGUGUGUGCAACUCACACACACA